GAUGAACGCUGGCGGCGUGCCUAAUACAUGCAAGUCGAGCGAACAGACGAGGAGCUUGCUCCUCUGACGUUAGCGGCGGACGGGUGAGUAACACGUGGAUAACCUACCUAUAAGACUGGGAUAACUUCGGGAAACCGGAGCUAAUACCGGAUAAUAUAUUGAACCGUAUGGUUCAAUAGUGAAAGACGGUUUUGCUGUCACUUAUAGAUGGAUCCGCGCCGCAUUAGCUAGUUGGUAAGGUAACGGCUUACCAAGGCAACGAUGCGGAGCCGACCUGAGAGGGUGAUCGGCCACACUGGAACUGAGACACGGUCCAGACUCCUACGGGAGGCAGCAGUAGGGAAUCUUCCGCAAUGGGCGAAAGCCUGACGGAGCAACGCCGCGUGAGUGAUGAAGGUCUUCGGAUCGUAAAACUCUGUUAUUAGGGAAGAACAAAUGUGUAAGUAACUAUGCACGUCUUGACGGUACCUAAUCAGAAAGCCACGGCUAACUACGUG
rnacentral:rRNA from 1 species